GGAUGGGAUAGAGUAGUUGUGGA
rnacentral:siRNA from 1 species